GCGAAGUCCGGGAGAGCAGCGGGGGGAAUACGGAGGGUGCAGGCGGUAAUCUGAAUUGCUGGGCGUAAAGCGCACGCAGGCGGUUGGAUAAGGUAGAUGGGAAAGCCCCGGGCUCAACCUGGGAAUUUCAUUUAAAACUGUCCAGCUAGAGUCUUGUAGAGGGGGGUAGAAUUCCAGGUGUAGCGGUGAAAUGCGUAGAGAUCUGGAGGAAUACCGGUGGCGAAGGCGGCCCCCUGGACAAAGACUGACGCUCAGGUGCGAAAGCGUGGGGAGCAAACAGGAUUAGAUACCCGUGUAGUC
rnacentral:rRNA from 1 species